GAAAUAUAUGAUUAUGAAAAUAGCAUAACAAAACAUUCUGAGAAUAUCCAUGCCUUCGUUUCCUAACUUCAUUUUUCUUGCUUCUAUUAUCUUAACGCACGACGGAGGAUCUGGGAUGCCUGUAGAGGCUGUGCAGGCUUGUGUUAUUUGGGUCUGUUUUAGCAUUAUCCAGUCCCACACCGGCUAGACUUUGAACAGUAGAAGUGUUUAUAAGCAAAUACUCAGCAAGUAGGUUCGUCCCUUCGGGGACAUCCGAUAAAAUUGGAACGAUACAGAGAAGAUUAGCAUGGCCCCUGCGCAAGGAUGACACGCACAAAUCGAGAAAUGGUCCAAAUUUUUUUGCAAUUUCUCGACGAAGCUCCACUGUGUAAUCCCCAGGUUUCCUUCUUCUUCUUCCUUCAACAAUGGUGUUCUUCUUCAAUUCCAUGUAUGUUAAUACUUUUUAAUUACUUUUUGUGUUCAUAGUUUAGUAUCUUAGUUAGAAGAAUAUAAUUUGGGUGAUCUCACAGGUGGGCAGAGAGGCAUGGAGAGAGAGAGAGAGAGAGAGAGAGAGAGAGAGAGUGAAUGGAUCUGUUGAGUUAAUUGUGCUGUUAGUUAGCUGUUUAAUUUAGGGGAGUGGUCAAGUAAUUAUAAUGACAUCAGGGGAUGUGAUGUUGGAGUCUCUAACCAACUGGAUGGAUCAUAACAAUGAGGAGAGAAGUUUGAGUACAAAUGAGAGUUUGUAUGCUACCUAUAUACUUUAUGUUUUCCUCACAUUAACGAUUCUAUAUGGUAUUUCGCUAUCUUAGGGAAGGCUCCAGCUUAGCGAAUUGAUGGAGAUGACUCUUGUGUGUGAUGGUUGGGGAAGACUAGUAUAUUAUGCUGCAGUAGGUAUUCAAUUAGUCCCACAUCGGCUAUAUAUGAAAAUUAUAUAUUGAUUAUCUUGUUAAUUUUCCAAUUUGCAUUUACUUUUCAUAUGUAAUUUAUUUGGGGAUUUCUUUAUAUAAUUACAAUUUUAAUAAUUGUUGUUGGGGUGGAAUUGCUGUUUAUUUUGGUUUAAACAGCAACGUUUUAUCUAGAAUUGAAAAUGUUGAACUAAGUUUGGUGGGGUGCGCCAGGCCCUUGCAGUUGUGUAAGGCAUGGGCGACGCUUGAAGAUCCCAAUAGCAAGCUACUGUGGUGGACCCUCCCCCUAAAAAAAUAAAUUUAAUAUCGUGUGAGCCAUUGGCUCACAUAUCAGAUAUUAAACUGAUAAGAACAGAUACUACACUUGAUCUUAGCCAAAAGGCCGAGAAAGGUAUGCUUCUUCCUCUGCCUUGUUUCUACUUUUAUAUCUAUCACAUGUGCUUCAGUUGCGUUGCACAACCAAUGUGGGACUUGAAAGGUUGAAUAUUACAGUUGUUGUUACUAUACCAUGAAUACUCUUACUUUGCUGUUGAUGUGUGUAUCCUUUCUAUUACCAUAAAGAUAUCAAAAGAAGUUUUGUGGCUAUGAGAUCUUUAAGCAAGUGGGUCUCCAUCUUUGUGUUGUCUGUCUGGUGCAUGUUUUUUUUGCUCAUAUGCUUGUCAGUCUCAUCAAUUGUGGGUGCUUUGCAUUAAAGAAUAUGAAACUGAGUAUAUUGCAUUCUAUGUUGCAUGAGAAACUAAUCAAGUGAUUUUGGAUUAUUUAUCAGUAUAUAUAUGAUAUUGGCAUCUACGUUAGGUUGCUGGUUUGGUUUCUUCUAGUUUUUGAUGGAACCCAGCCAAGAACAAGAAUAAAACUGGUAUAAUUCAGUAUAGAAAUGUACAAUAUUCCUGAGAAAUCCAAGAGUCUCAGUCAGUCUCCCUAAACUCAAUUCCGAAUGAUUCCAAAGAUUCUAAUCCAUCUUAGCUCACUCCUACUUUUAUAUCCUUCCACCCUUACUCUUGAACUAACUCUCAAUUGACUAAACUACUAACACCCUAACUAACCAGAUGCGUGUAGCUAUCAAUUUCACUCAGGAAAUCUGGAUAAGAGUGGUACAGACUGAAAGGACUGGCAUUAUAUCACUCUACAAAUGAACACUUAGGUUUUUUGUGCCUUAUUUACAUGAUUGUGUUGGUGACAUGUAGGGUUAUGUAUUGUUGGUAACUGUACUUUGUUCCACAUCGGCUAUGUUGAUUAAGAUUUUAUAGUUCAUAUAUCACUACAGAACAGCAAGUAUUGUCCCUUCGUGGACAUCCGAUAAAAUUGGAACGAUACAGAGAAGAUUAGCAUGGCCCCUGCGCAAGGAUGACACGCACAAAUCGAGAAAUGGUCCAAAUUUUUUUGCAAUUUCAUUUCUCUGCGAAGCUCAACUGUGUUAGCCAUGUUCCCUUCUUCUUCCUUCAACACCAUGCAUGUUAGUGCUUUUCAAAUGCUCUCCAUUUCCCUUGCUUACUUGAUGUUUGUUUUAUUAUGCUUGUUGUAUUUUAGCCUAUCUCAAGUGUUGCGAGACAAGGCUUCAACGGAACAAUGGGUUGACACUCUUGGUUUCAACAGAGCUCUCUUUGUACAAGUUUUCUAACUGUUAGUGCCUCUUCCAUCUGUAGCCAUGUGGGCAUUCAUCAUCCAAGUGUCUUUCAUUUGAUUUGAGUACUCAUGCUAGAGCCAUGUGGGCAUGUCUAGGAGUGCUUUCAUUAGAACUGUGACAGACGUUAUGUCUAUCUUGGAUGUAAUCUAUAGCUGUGGUUCAGCCUUAUUUAUGGAAUAUGUUCCAUUGACCAAAAAAAAAAAGUGUUACCAACUAGUGUCAUGUUCUGAAUUCUGAUACAAACCAGUAUUACUUUAACUCCAUCUCCAUGUCCAGGGCAUAGCCUCAUACCACACAUUGUUUCAGAUUUAAAACUGAUUUGAAAUGAAUCAUUAGAUUAUUAAUAACUUCUGUUGCUUUCCUUCGAGGGAGGAAUCCUGUUUUUUUAAUUGAUAAAUGAUGUUUCUUGUUUCCUCCACAGUUGAGACUGAGUAGGAUUUGUGUUGCUUUAGCUUUGCAUGUGAUAACUCACUUCCGGUUGAUCUUAACAUAAUAUUAGUGCUUAUAAACUAAUGAGCCAACACUUAGGCUUGUCCCUUUAGUCCGUUAGAAUUGGAAUGAUACAGAGAAGCAUAUUUUUCUUGUUUCUCAUUCAAAGUUGACAUUUUUAUCUUCAAGAAUUCUAAGAAAUUUCCAGUCCUUGUGUCAUUUUGUUUUUCUAGAAUUUUUUGUUCAGUUUAGUAUCUUAGUUAGAAUAUCAGUUGGGUUAGAUCUCACAAGAGAGAGAAUGGAUCUUUGGAGUUAACUGUGAUGUUAGUUAGCUGUUCAAUUUAGGGGAGUGAUGAAGUCAUUAUAAUGACAGCAGGGGAUGUGAUAUGAGAGGUUGUAUGCUACCUAAAUUCUUGAUGGUUUCCUCACAUCCAUAGUAAUCAAGGAUUUAGUGAUUAAAUCUUAGGCUGAUCUAACAGAAAAGAGGCCAAUCUCAUGAUCUAUAUAUAUGGCAUUCCACUAUCUUAUAAAAGGGUGUGGUUUAGUGAAGGGGCUCUACAAGACUUCAUAAGAGAUAGAAUUGGCAGAGCACCGGUAUAUUAUGCUGCUGUACUGGAACAACUUGAGGAUCCCAGUAGCAAGCUACUGUGGUGGAGCCUCCCCCUAAAAAAAUUAAUUUAAUAUCGUGUGAGCCAUUGGCUCACAUAUCAGAUAUUAAACUGAUAAGAACAGAUACUACACUUGAUCUUAGCCAAAAGGCCGAGAAAGGUAUGCUUCUUCCUUUGCCAUGUCUCUGCUUUUAUAUCCAAUAUAUGUGCUUUGGUUGAGCUACACAACCAAUGUGGGACUUGAGAGGUUGAGUAUAGCAGCUGUAGUUACUAACUUACUAUAUAUAUCAUGUAGACAUUUACUUGGCUUCCUUCUGACUUGUGUAUCCUCUCCAUUACCACAUUAACAUAGCCAUGAUAUCUUUAAGCAAGUGAGUUUUCACUCAAGCAGUUUCUCCAUCUUAGUGUUGUCUGUCUGUUGCAUGUUUUGAUGACCAAUAGAAGUUUUGCUUGCUCAUCUGCUCUAUAUAGACUCCUUUUCUCUUAAUACUAUGUAUCACCCAGAAUUGUGGGUACCUGGAAAACUUGUUAUUUGGGAAGAACUUGUUAUUGGACCAAGAUUAAGUCAGGUGCAGGCCCUAUAAUGAACAUUACUUAACCUAUCUAGAAUUGAAAAUCUUGAACUAGGUUUGGUGGGAUGCGCCAGGCCCUUGCAGUAGUGUAAGGCAUGGGCGACGCUUGAAGAUCCCAAUAGCAAGCUACUGUGGUGGACCCUCCCCUAAAAAAAUAAAUUUAAUAUCGUGUGAGCCAUUGGCUCACAUAUCAGAUAUUAAACUGAUAAGAACAGAUACUACACUUGAUCUUAGCCAAAAGGCCGAGAAAGGUAUGCUUCUUCCUCUGCCUUGUUUCUACUUUUAUAUCUAUCACAUGUGCUUCAGUUGCGUUGCACAACCAAUGUGGGACUUGAAAGGUUGAAUAUUACAGUUGUUGUUACUAUACCAUGAAUACUCUUACUUUGCUGUUGAUGUGUGUAUCCUUUCUAUUACCAUAAAGAUAUCAAAAGAAGUUUUGUGGCUAUGAGAUCUUUAAGCAAGUGGGUCUCCAUCUUUGUGUUGUCUGUCUGGUGCAUGUUUUUUUUGCUCAUAUGCUUGUCAGUCUCAUCAAUUGUGGGUGCCUUGCAUUAAAGAAUAUGAAACUGAGUAUAUUGCAUUCUAUGUGGUCUGAUUUUCUCUGGCUUUUUAACACUCUACAACAGAACACUUCUGUUCACUGUGCGUUCUUGUUUUCAUGUUAAAUGGAGAUUUGGUAGUUCACAAGUCCUAUCAUGCAAUUGUUAGCAUUGGUUAUAGCUGGGUAUAUGACUACACCUCUUUCAACUUUUUGAAUGUUUCCAUGCAUCCAACUAUUCACGGGGACUUCAUAUGCGUAUGUUUGGUUUGAGGACCAUCAGUUAAUUUGUUGGACAUCAUUAUCCCUGUUGUAGUGUGCUUGAUGAAAUGGUGAGCGACUAAGAAAAUUUCACGGGGACUUCAAUGAGUGAUUACUAUAUGGAAACUAGUGCAUUGUUCUGAAGUCUGAUACCAAAUCGGAUGAAUAUUAGUUUUAAAUCACUAAGCUGUAAGUUCUUUUAAUUGUUUCUCCUUACCACACAUUUACAAAGAAACACUAGAAUAUGAUUCUCUUACUAGCUUCUGUUGCUUUGCUUUGGGCGAGGAACUUUGUCGCUUUUUUUUUUGUUCUUAAUUGAUAAAGGAUGCUUUGGUUUGCUCCACAGCUGAGGCUGGGUAGGAUUUGUGUUGGUAUUUCUAUCUACUUGUCUCACUCCAACUUUUGCCACUCAUCGUCGGAGUUUUAAAUAGUUUUAAUGUUUAUAAAUAUAUGCUCCCCUAUCAAGUGUUUGCCUUCAGGGACAUCUGGUAAAAUUGGUCCAAUCUUUUUUUCACUCUAAUCUUCUUCUAUUGGGUCCAAAUAUUUUCCAAUUAUCUUCCAUAACACUAGGAUAUGAAUGCAUGUUCUUGCUCUUUGCAAAUGUAUUUAAGCUUAUGCUGAAGCUGGAGAAGAAUUGUUAGUUUUAUUUUUCUUUCAAACUUGUCAAUUUAUUCUUUCUUCUGAAAGAAUUCUAAUCAAUGUCCAGUUCUUUCGUGGCACUUUAUGGUUUUGGUUAGAUAUCACAAGUGGUUGAGAGAGAGAUUAGAUUUUGGAGUAAAUUGUGUUAGUAAUUUGCUUAAUUUAAGGGAGUCGUGAAGUAAUUAUAACGACAGCAGGGGAUGUGAGAUUGACUGCUGAAGGAAGGAUGUAUCCCAAAACAAAUGUAUCCCAAAACAAAUGUAUCCGGAGGCUUUUGGAGGAACAUUGAAAUUUCUUUGUAAAUUUGGUGACUGGAUUUGAUGAGAAAUGGCAGAUAAGUUUAUUUUAAAUGAGUUGUACUUUCCUCUGUUGAGUUUAUGCCUUAUAUGUUUUCUGAUUUUGUUUUAAGCAGAUUGCUUCAUUACCCUUGCACUUCUAACUCACCUCUAUAGUCUAUACUUUUUCUAAGCUAUGGCUAAUAUUUCUCAACCUUCAUCUAUCAUUAUUCCCAUUUUUCAAUGGUGAAAAGUAAACUAUCAGCUAAAAAAAAUUUGCCAUGCGUCCUUGAGACUUAGGUUCACACAGCAGGAGCACAUGCCCAUGACGACGACCUCUAAGGUUCCGCUUGAGUGCAAACCAAUGUAGAGCAAGUCUAACUCAAUUACUCCAGGUUAGACUUGCGGGGGAGUGAUGAAAUAGUAGGGAAGCAAGUCUCACAUUGCUGAGUUAAAGAGCAAAAGAACAGUUUUAAGUGUUGGUGUUGCACUCCUAACUGUCACAAUCUGUGAUCUGAAUCCUUUGCCUAUUGAGAUGUCUGCAAUAAUAUCCAUUAUCCCAAUCUUUCUAAUGGCAAUGGCAACCUCACAAUCACAUCCUCUAGAACAGACCUAUCUGCAGUGCCUCUCUCUCAAUUCUGAACCUUCUCCUCCAAUCUCUGAAGUCACCUAUUUCCCCAACAGCCCUUCCUACCCAGCAAUCUUGGAGUCCUACAUCAGAAACCUGAGAUUCAACUCACCCACAUCUCCAAAACCAGCCUUCAUUGUGGCCCCAACUCAUGUGUCCCACAUCCAGGCCACAAUCAUCUGCUGCAAAAGGUUUGGUCUUGAAAUCAGGAUAAGGAGUGGUGGCCAUGACUAUGAUGGCCUCUCAUAUGCAUCACAAGCCCCAUCAUUCAUCAUUCUGGACAUGUUCAUGCUGAGAUCAGUGGUGGUCAACUUGAAGGAUGAAACUGUGAGUGUUGAGUCAGGGGCAACAGUUGGUGAGCUUUAUCAUGGGAUUGCAGAGAAGAGCAGGAUCCAUGGCUUCCCAGCUGGGGUGUGCCCCACUGUUGGUGUUGGGGGACACUUCAGUGGUGGUGGCUAUGGGAACCUGAUGAGAAGGUUUGGUCUCUCUGUGGAUAAUGUUCUGGAUGCUGUAAUUGUUGAUGCUGAUGGAAGAGUCCAUGACAGGAAAUCAAUGGGGGAAGAUCUUUUCUGGGCUAUUGGAGGAGGUGGGGGUGCUAGCUUUGGGGUCAUAGUUUCCUGGAAAAUCAAGUUGGUUCCUGUGCCUGAGGUUGUGACAGUUUUCAGAGUUGAGAAAACAUUGGAACAAGGUGCUACUGAUAUGGUUCAUCAGUGGCAAUAUGUUGCUGACAGGAUUCACCAUGGCUUGUUUAUAAGAGUAGUUCUUAGUCCUGUGCAGAGAAAGGGUAAGAAAACAGUAAGGGCUAAGUUUAAUGCUUUGUUUCUUGGAAAUGCAGGACAGUUGCUUGAUAUAAUGACUGAGAGCUUCCCUGAACUGAGUUUGGUUGGUGAACAGUGCAUUGAAAUGAGGUGGAUAGAUUCAGUGUUGUUUUGGUAUAAUUAUCCAGUUGGGACCUCAACUGAUGUUUUGCUUGAAAGGCAUCCUGGAUCUGAGAAAUUCUUGAAGAGGAAAUCAGAUUAUGUGCAGAAGCCCAUCUCCAAGAUUGGCCUUGAAGGGGUAUGGAAGAAGAUGAUUGAGCUAGGAAAGCCUUCUCUGACAUUCAAUCCUUAUGGUGGUAAAAUGAGUGAGAUUUCUGAGGUGGAAACACCCUUUCCACACAGAGGUGGUAACAUCUACUACUUCUUAUUCUCAAGUUUGCAAUUCACUAUUCCUACAAAACCUCCAAUCAGCUUUCGCCAUCUGGCUUUCUUUCCUUUAGUUUUCAUUUUUUUCCAAUGGCCUCUGGGAUACGACUAACCAUUCAUCAUCCCCAUCUCAAUCGCGUGUUGCCUCUGCUCUCCACCCACUCCGUCGUACGCUAGCUAGCAAUCGCGUGUUGCCUCUCCCUCUUCACCCACUCCGUUGUACCCUUCGUCAUCUUCUUUUUCAUUGAUUUCUCUUCUGAAAUCAACCCUAGCUAGCUUUCCUCUUCUCCAAAUCCAUCCAAACCCUAGAUGUGUUUCCGUGUUUAAGUUGCUCUUUCCAUCCACUUCUCACCAAUCCAUCAACUUCGUCUUUUCGAUUGAUCUGAUGUCGCCUUUGUCUUCGUCGCCGGUUGCUGUUCAUCCGCCAUUCCCUCUUCUCAGUUGCCGAACUUUUUGGGUUGAAUGCAUCUUCGAAGGUUGAUUUUGUGAUCAAAUGAUUCCAUUCAAAGCUUAUGUCCUGUAAGAGAAGCAUAAAAGAUCAGAGCAAGGGUGAUCAGAAAGGGAGCUCCAUAGUUGGCAAUUGUGAUCUUGAAUUUGCUGAAGGACUGUUUGUCGGCGGUAAAUUAUGGCCACUCCUAAACAUAUUAGUGAACUGAUACAUGUGGAAGGCAUGGCAAUGUACGAAUUCAAAAGCCACUUGCAAGGGGAAAUAUCUGAUAAAGACCAUGAAUGAGAACAGUGACAGUCAUCCUAAAUUACCAAAUUCAAACCAUUAAGCAUGGAACUUCUUGAAUUGUGUAAGUCUCUUUCAUAAAAAUAUAUGAAGCUUCUAUUCAAACAGUUCAAGCUUGGUUACUGAUGAAAAUUGAGCAAUUUCCAUAACAAGGGUACACAAAUCUGUUUCUCUAGCCAGUGUUAUUGUGAAACAAUUAGUUAUAAUUUUUGUGUUUGUAGAUUUAGUGCAAUGGAAAAUAUUAUACGCACGAUAUUCCCUUCACAUAACUUGCAAUAUAGCAAACUAACAUUUCAUUUCUUUCUUCCUCUUUUGUCUGCUUUUUCUUUAUAAAAAACAAUGGUGUCUAAUAUCUCUUAGUUUAAAUUUUUUUUCUUGAAGAUUGAGAGUUCUGAACAAAACUACAGAAAUAAAUGCACUUGGCUUAUGUUCUGCUAUUUAUCAACUCAGAUAAGGCCCAUAAGAGGAUACCAAUGAUUGUGCCCAACACUGAAAUUUUGAAUAGGCCAUCAACCCAGCUACUAGAACCCCCAUUAUCUGAGUGUUUCCAUGCAAGGUCUCAAAUUCCCCUAAUCUUAUACCAGUGCAUAUAUGACACUGCAUAUAUGAUUUUUGUAAACUUUUUAAUAUUUUAACUGUUUAUCAUUUUUCUGAACUUCAUGUGUUUUCGACCUUUUUCUAUCUCCUACCCAUUCAGAGUUACUACUUAUUUUAGCGCUGAAGUUAACUUUUAUACUUCAGAAGUACAAAGGAGGGGAAUAUGGCCCAAGUUUUCCCUGCAUCUCCACUCUGCUUUCCUAUUUUUAGAGUUCUUAUGACUCUUAAAGUUGAAAGGCUUAAAGUUUCACAUUGGAGAACUCAACGAUCAUACCUCAUUGCUUAAAAGGUCUCUGUUGGUAGAGGGAGGAAUAUGACAAGGUGUAUCUAUGGAGAAUAGGAGCUCGAGUCUGUUGGGCUUAUAAAUGAAGGGAAGAUGCAUUAAAUUGUGACGGCACAAGAAUGAGGAGAAGGUGAGCCAUCAAAAUUGUGAUAGGGAAGGGACAUAUCAAUUAUGCUUGAGUUUAAGUUCUUCAAUUAUGACGGCACAAGAAUGAAGUUUUUUGAUUAGGGAGGCACUCAUUCUCAAUUUCUCACUCUUAACAUAAAUUCUGGUUCCAAAUUUUGUCUGUCUUUCCUCCAAAAUCAAUCAUCUUGAUCCUUAGAUGUAAAAUCAAGACUCUUAUGUCAUGUAUAAUAUGUAAUUUGUUCA